GACGAACGCUGGCGGCGUGCCUAAUACAUGCAAGUCGGACGCUGAAGAGAGGAGCUUGCUCUUCUUGGAUGAGUUGCGAACGGGUGAGUAACGCGUAGGUAACCUGCCUUGUAGCGGGGGAUAACUAUUGGAAACGAUAGCUAAUACCGCAUAACAAUGGAUGACACAUGUCAUUUAUUUGAAAGGGGCAAUUGCUCCACUACAAGAUGGACCUGCGUUGUAUUAGCUAGUAGGUGAGGUAACGGCUCACCUAGGCGACGAUACAUAGCCGACCUGAGAGGGUGAUCGGCCACACUGGGACUGAGACACGGCCCAGACUCCUACGGGAGGCAGCAGUAGGGAAUCUUCGGCAAUGGGGGCAACCCUGACCGAGCAACGCCGCGUGAGUGAAGAAGGUUUUCGGAUCGUAAAGCUCUGUUGUAAGUCAAGAACGAGUGUGAGAGUGGAAAGUUCACACUGUGACGGUAGCUUACCAGAAAGGGACGGCUAACUACGUG
rnacentral:rRNA from 1 species